UUACAAUUAAAGGAUAUUUCUUGCGAAUGACUCAGAAAUGUCUUUUAAUUGUUCGGU
ensembl:miRNA